CUCCUCUCUUCUCUGUCUGUCUCUCUCAUUUUUCCUCCCCAACUAAGGUUGCCGCUGCCGCCGCCCCAUCGCUCCCCACCGGAGAAAGGCCUGCUUCUCCCUAGGGUCUUCUACUCUUGGGGCUAAUCUGACAGGAAGGGCGGCGCUGCUCCUCCCCCGACAGCAAGGCGGGUGUCCUGCACGCUCACCAGCGAGGGAGAGGUUGCCACCUCUCCUCACCUCCUCCCAGGUUCCCGGCUCGAGUGGAGAGGGAUAGCUGCGUCCACAGGUGAAGGCGUUGCUGAGAACUGCCCCUUGUCCUUGUCGAUGGGGAGAAGGGAGCAACAACCUCUUUCUCUAAAAAAGGGAGCACCAACCGUAGCAGGUGGUGGUGUGGGCAAACGCGUUGGAGCCGCUUCGGCUUCUUCCAGCGGCUGUCUCUCCCCCGCCCUCAACAUCUCGCCGGAGCCACCGGAUUUCAGUGCCAAGGGAGAAUAGAAUCAACCGCGUGGCGCGGCCACAAACGCUGGUGAACGUCUCAGAUAUCAAUCAUGGUUACAUCCGGGAGGAAGAGGAGGGAGAGAAAGAGAUGGAUUGGGGAAGAAGAGGAGAUUUGUGAAGUUCUUGUCUACGUGUGGUGAAACAGAGGUGACCAACGAGGACGUCGAGGCCAACUUUUCACCGCAUAUCAAGUAAUAUAAUUCCAGUAUGCAUCUACUUAUAAGCUAAUUAGCACUGUAUUUGUAGAGUUCAAUUGGAAGUUAAUUAGUUUGACAAUGUUAGGCGCCGAUGGCUUUAGAUAUGUAAAUAAAAAUAACUUUUAAGUAAAACUAAGUAUUUAAUUAUUGUUCUGUUGUGUUAUUGAUUUCACUGGUUUUAUGUCAGCCAUGAGUUCUGAAGGAUUCGGCAUCGGCCAGUUUGGAUUAUGUUACUAGAUUAUCGGAAGAACCUCAUGAUAUAUGAAUUUAGAGGAUUUGCUGAGAUUUGAUGCAAAAUAUUGAUGGCCAGGCACUAUAGUGCGCACAAGCACAAUUUUCGGAUUUUCUUGUCAUUUUUGUAGCAGUUUUUCUGUACCAAUAGUGUGACAUCACACUGCUGCAUUUUCACAGGCCAUGGAACAAUGAAGAACUUAGCAAGGAAUACCCAAACGGUCUACUGUUAUAAUUAUGCGUGCAUUUUGGAUCUAUUGGAUGUCUGGAUGUGCCGCAGAUCCACAUUCACUGAUGCAAAGGGCUCAGGAUAAGGAUUUCCUGAUCUUCUGCUUGCCACAUCUUGGUAUUUCUCAUCUGAACAUGAAUUCAGAAUGUUCCCUUUUGCAUCCAAGUAAAACUAUUCAUCGACAUUCUAUCAUUUACCAAAUUGCUCACUUUUCUUAGUGUUGAUAGGGAAUUCACCAUUAGUUACAACUCUGUUUGGUUUUGAGUUACUGUUUCACUAAUUGACACCUGCAAGUAAGGAGUCCUGAUGAAGUGAAUGAUUUGUGUGCGUGAAUCCGAUUAGGCUGUGUUAGGUUGAUACCUUUUGUGCAAAAGGGUUUGGCGAUGUAAGUCUGCUCCCUGUGGUAAUUCUGUUGUGUUGCAUGGCUAGCUUGUCGUACAUGGCUCGAUAUGCAAUUGGCCUGGGAUGACAUGUUUUCACCGAUUAGCUGGUUCCUACUAGCUGUUGCUUUGGUUCCUUUUUAUGUAAAUAUAACUUCCAGGUGUGAUUCUUGGUUAUUUAGAUACUAGCUAUCCUAUACGUAUAUUUCUGAUGAUUCAAUUGGUCUUAGUAAUACUGAAGUAUAGAGUACAGCCUUUAAUUUGUAUGCAAAUAUAAUUCUUUUAUUGCUUUUCAUAGAUUAGUUCAUUCUUUAGGUGUAUAUGCUCUUUAUAGUUUAUGUUUCCCUGUUGUUUAUGUAUGCUUAUAGAAUUAUACUAACCCAAAUGCUGUGAGGUGCUUGGUGUCCUAUAUACAGUAAUAUACCAAGUGCAUGUGUGUGCUUCAUGUUCCGCAUGGAUGCAGAUGGUUAUAGAUGUGCUACCAUGGCCUAUUUCUUAUCUUAUAGGUUAUGGGCGGUAUCUUAUCUUGCCUAAACCUGAUUUGAACAAAUGCUACACUUGCUCUCCCCACUCUUUCUUUCUCUCCUCCUCUCACUUCUCUUGCCAGCCAAUGACGUUGCAUUGAAGCUCUCACUGGGAUUUAACAGAUGCUACACCUAUAUGCUUCGAUGAAGGCGUAGUCCUAGCAUCUCUAGGCUGUCUAAGGACAUCUCCACUCUAAAACCCUACCUCUAUUCUUCUAGCUCAGAUUAACCUUCCUCUUAUGGUAAGCCUGCAUCUCCUAGAUGGUCACUAGGAGAAUGGCGGCGAUGAGGAGGCUCGGCCCUUGGCGCAGACCUGAACCCCUGAGCGGUGGCAGCGUCAGAUCUGUCUGCCUCAUGGGGCCAGGUCUCCGAUCCAUGCCGCGACACUACCGGCAUGGCGGCCCGGGUUCGGGCAGCAUCCAUGGUGUCGGGUGCGCUGGCGAGGUCUCUGGGGAACGAGAGGCAGGGGACUGGCACGGCUUUCGGUCAUAGGUUCUGGUAACGCCAAGCCGUAGAUCUGAGCCACCGUCUCCACAGUAGGCAUAGCCCUAUGGUAGAUGCUUCAUGUGCUCCCUUGAUGUAGUGUCCUCUUGCCACCAUCCUGAGACAAGAUACAAGCACCAUCGUUCUGCUCCUUUAAUUUGUCUGAACUUUCUAAUAGCCGCAUGUUGACUCUAAGCACACUAUUUUAGCUAAAACUAUGUACCGCAGGUGCAGCUUUGACAUGUUGUGAUGGAAUUACCAACCAAGAUCACAUCAAGCAGCAACAAUGUAGCCUUUAGUUUUUAACAAGUGCACUCUUCAGUGUCUGAUGAAUUAUUAACUUGCAAAGACUGCUUGAUGUGGUGGAGAUAGUUACAGUACACCAAGGAAAACAAAUGCGAUGUUGAUACAUGCAAGUAUUGUUUUAUUUUCAAUAUAAAAGUGCCAAAUUUAGCUUGUGCAAGGUUCAACAUUCGAGGCUGGGUGUGAUGAAAGCUUGCAGCCCAUAAUUGGCAUGGUCUUUGUUUGAUGGAAAUUCAGCGAGUGAUGGUGAUGUGAUCGAAGAUGACCCUGUUUUGUUGAGAUGGCUGGCUCCAUCCUGCUCCAGCGUCGCCGCCCGUCAACCCAACAAACACAAGAGGCAUUAACAGGAGAAGCACAACGCAG